ACUAAUAGCCUCUUAAUUAACUCCUUCCCCUUCCGGCUUCCCUUCCUUAUCCCUCAUGGGUCUCCUUUGCUUCACCUCCUGAAUAAACAACUGGGACCCACAUUCUUGACUCUAGGUCCUCUUUGGAGAGAAUCAAACCUAUGACAAGCAUGGCUCAGGAUGCUGCAUGGAGGAUGCAGAGGCCCUGUCAGAUCCCUGAUACCAUGUAUUCCCUGAAGGUGAUUUAUCAUCUGUCCAUCAUCAUGGUCCAUCAUCCAUCAUGCCACCAUAAGUACUGGAGUCUUUCAAAGGUCAUUGCCAUGCUUCAUCAAGGACCACCUCAACUCUGCUCAAAUCCCUUUAUGGAAUAUGAAACAGCAUAUAAACCAGAAAAAUUGGAGCAACUGUGAGUAACUGUGACUUCUGUGAUGGCAGAUUCUUUAUCACUAGCGCCACCUGGGAAGUCCCUUGUGCAUGCUAUCCAGUACAAGGCUACAAAUUGCAGAUAACAUGGCACCUCUACUUGGGUUUUAUUUCUCCUUCUGAUGAACAGAGAAAAGUCUUCAUAAAGGCCUUAAGUGGCCAUCACAAUUCACUCAUUGCUUUUUGCAUCCUGUAAUUGUCGCAUAUGCCCUGUAAGUGUUUGAAAUGAUUAUGUGGUAUGUCACUAUAUAAAGAAAGAAUUCCUAA